AGUCGAGCGCAGGAAGUCGACGGAACCCUUCGGGGGGAAGUCGACGGAAUGAGCGGCGGACGGGUGAGUAACACGUAAAGAACCUGCCCUCAGGUCUGGGAUAACCACGAGAAAUCGGGGCUAAUACCGGAUGGGUCAUCGGACCGCAUGGUCCGAGGAUGAAAGGCGCUUCGGCGUCGCCUGGGGAUGGCUUUGCGGUGCAUUAGCUAGUUGGUGGGGUAAUGGCCCACCAAGGCGACGAUGCAUAGCCGACCUGAGAGGGUGAUCGGCCACACUGGGACUGAGACACGGCCCAGACUCCUACGGGAGGCAGCAGUAGGGAAUCUUCCACAAUGGACGAAAGUCUGAUGGAGCAACGCCGCGUGAACGAUGAAGGCCUUCGGGUCGUAAAGUUCUGUUGUAAGGGAAGAACAAGUGCCGCAGGCAAUGGCGGCACCUUGACGGUACCUUGCGAGAAAGCCACGGCUAACUACGUGCCAGCAGCCGCGGUAAUACGUAGGUGGCAAGCGUUGUCCGGAAUUAUUGGGCGUAAAGCGCGCGCAGGCGGCCUCUUAAGUCUGAUGUGAAAGCCCCCGGCUCAACCGGGGAGGGCCAUUGGAAACUGGGAGGCUUGAGUAUAGGAGAGAAGAGUGGAAUUCCACGUGUAGCGGUGAAAUGCGUAGAGAUGUGGAGGAACACCAGUGGCGAAAGCGACUCUUUGGCCUAUAACUGACGCUGAGGCGCGAAAGCGUGGGGAGCAACAGGAUUAGAUACCCUGGUAGUCCACGCCGUAACGAUGAGUGCUAGGUGUUGGAGGGUUUCCGCCCUUCAGUGCUGAAGCUAACGCAUUAAGCACUCCGCCUGGGGGAGUACGGUCGC
rnacentral:rRNA from 1 species